rnacentral:rRNA from 1 species
UCCCGGCAGUCCAAGUCGCAGCCAGCAUUAUUGGGUCUAAAACAUCCGUAGCUUGCUUAUUAAGUUCCUUGUGAAAUUCUAUGUCUCAAGCAUGGAAAUUGCGGGGAAUACUGAUAAGCUAGAGACCGGAAGAUGUAAAGAGUAUGUUUGAGGUAGUAGUAAAAUACGUUAAUCUUAAGCAGACUAACAAUUGGCGAAGGCACUUUACAAGUACGGAUCUGACAGUGAGGGAUGAAGGCUAGGGG